rnacentral:rRNA from 1 species
AUUGAACGCUGGCGGCAGGCCUAACACAUGCAAGUCGAACGAGUGGCGGACGGGUGAGUAAUGUCUGGGAAACUGCCCGAUGGAGGGGGAUAACUACUGGAAACGGUAGCUAAUACCGCAUACCAUCGGAUGUGCCCAGAUGGGAUUAGCUUGUAGGUGGGGUAACGGCUCACCUAGGCGACGAUCCCUAGCUGGUCUGAGGGGAUGCCCAGCCACACGGGAACUGAGACACGGUCCAGACUCCUACGGGAGGCAGCAGGGGGGAAUAGUGCAAAAGGGGCGCAAGCCUGGUGCAGCCGUGCCGCGUGUAUGAAGGAGGCCUGCGGGUUGAAGUACUUUCAGCGGGGAGGCGUUACCCGCAGAAGAAGCACCGGCUAACUCCGUGCCAGCAGCCGCGGUAAUAC